rnacentral:rRNA from 1 species
UACGGAGGGAGCUAGCGUUGUUCGGAAUUACUGGGCGUAAAGCGCACGUAGGCGGCUUUGUAAGUUAGAGGUGAAAGCCCGGAGCUCAACUCCGGAACUGCCUUUAAGACUGCAUCGCUUGAAUCCAGGAGAGGUGAGUGGAAUUCCGAGUGUAGAGGUGAAAUUCGUAGAUAUUCGGAAGAACACCAGUGGCGAAGGCGGCUCACUGGACUGGUAUUAACGCUGAGGUGCGAAAGCGUGGGGAGCAAACAGG